UUCUUUAUUUUAAAAAUUUUAUUACUUAAGUAGUGUGAACAGGAAAUUUGUAAAAAAUAUGUAAGAUGUAUUUAGAAUGUUUAAAACUUAAAAGGCUUGGCGGUAUUAUAUAUCCUUCCAGGGGAGUUUGCUUAUUAAUUUGAUAAUCCUCAAUUUAUACUUACUUUUUUUUGAAUAUACUAUAAAUCAGUUUGUAUAUUGCUGUCAUCAGUUUAUUUUGUAAAAAUUUUAUAAGAGACUUUAUAAUGAGGUGAUUGGUAUGUCAAGUCAAAAUGCAGCUAAUAAAAAAGGUUUAUAAAGUGAGCUACAAUUUAUAAUUUUUAAAUCGGAUUGGAUUAUGUAAUUUGUCCAUGAAGUCGGACUUGGUAGUAAUAUUAAUAAUUAGUAGGUUUUUAUGAAUAUGGUUUUAUAAUGCG
rnacentral:rRNA from 1 species